rnacentral:lncRNA from 1 species
CGGGAGGGGCGGUUUCCCUGCGUGCGCAGGAACCGCCGGCUGUCAGAGGACGCCAGGGCGUUACCUGACCCAGGGUGCCUCAGGGCAGGAGAGGUUUCUGCCGCCCCCUUGGGACCCAGCGCCCCUCCGAGAGCCAGAGCUGCGUUUCCAAUAAGUUCUGCAGCCGGCCCGGGGGAACCUGGGCCCUUUGCAGCAUCUUGGUGCCUCCUGAGGAGCGACGGAGAAGCUGCCUUGUUCGCUGAGUGCUGAGGAGGGGACUCUGGGCGGCUUCCCCGGGACAUACUGGUAAAGACUCAAGCAUUUGAAGAUCAAUGAAGCAAAGAAAUGUACUCAAGAAACCAUGUGGCCAAAGAAGCUUCCCUCUUAUGGAGCCCAUAGACUUAAGCUAAAAUCCUUUUCCAGGAGACAAUAUCCUGACAGUGGAGCAAUUCAGAUCAUUGUUUUUGUUGUUCAGCAUGGUUUGCAUUCUUCUCAACUAGUGUCUUUGAGGAACACAAUAGAAGAGAUGUAA